UACGGAGGGGGCUAGCGUUGUUCGGAAUUACUGGGCGUAAAGCGCACGUAGGCGGCUUUGCAAGUUAGAGGUGAAAGCCCGGGGCUCAACUCCGGAAUUGCCUUUAAAACUGCAUCGCUAGAAUUGUGGAGAGGUAAGUGGAAUUCCGAGUGUAGAGGUGAAAUUCGUAGAUAUUCGGAAGAACACCAGUGGCGAAGGCGACUUACUGGACACAUAUUGACGCUGAUGCGCGAAAGCCAGGGGAGCAAACGGG
rnacentral:rRNA from 1 species